rnacentral:rRNA from 1 species
UACGUAGGGUGCGAGCGUUAAUCGGAAUUACUGGGCGUAAAGCGUGCGCAGGCGGUUUGCUAAGACCGAUGUGAAAUCCCCGGGCUCAACCUGGGAACUGCAUUGGUGACUGGCAGGCUAGAGUAUGGCAGAGGGGGGUAGAAUUCCACGUGUAGCAGUGAAAUGCGUAGAGAUGUGGAGGAAUACCGAUGGCGAAGGCAGCCCCCUGGGCCAACACUGACGCUCAUGCACGAAAGCGUGGGGAGCAAACAGG